rnacentral:rRNA from 1 species
UACGAAAGGUGCAAGCGUUGUUCGGAAUGACUGGGCGUAAAGCGCACGUAGGCGGGUUUGUAAGUCGGAUGUGAAAGCCCUGGGCUCAACCUGGGAAUGGCACCCGAAACUAUAAAUCUUGAAUACCUAAGAGGUUGGUGGAAUUCCUGGUGUAGGAGUGAAAUCCGUAGAUAUCAGGAGGAAUAUCGGAGGCGAAGGCGACCAACUGGUGGUGUAUUGACGCUGAGGUGCGAAAAGCGUGGGGAGCAAACAGG